UGAGAUAUCCCUGUAAAAUUGGAAUUGAAUUCUUAUUUUAUCAUUGAAAUAGCAUCAUCUUUACACACAAACACCGUCAUCUCAUUCCAGAAAAUUGGUCACCGCUACCAUCAUCAACGAAGGUCACCUCCGGCAGGCGCCUCCCAUUACUGCACUAACGUCGCAUAUCCCUCCAACCCCAACGCCAUCUCCUUGAACUCCGGAUGCAAGUUAAUAGUUUAGAAGUUGGGAAGGAUGCGAUUUCCAAAGAAUGUGGAAGUUCACCAACUAUUGAAUAGUACCCGGUUAUGAAGAUGCUGGCAUUGGUGUCGAAAAGAAAGAAAACAUGGAGAAAGAAAAUGUAUUCUUACAUAAAAGAACAUAUUUUUGCCAUAAUAGAAUGUAUUAUGGCAGAAUGAUUUAGAAUAUUGAACUAACCAUUCUUUUGCAAUAUAUAAAUCAAAUCAUUCUAUCAGAAUUUUAUAAUAAGAUUGUGGUAUGCAUUAUGUUUUAAAAGAUUUGAGUUUUA